GGUUUGUGGAGAAACGCUGCAGUAAAAUUUACAACGUGCAAGUGGAACUCAUUUUGAAUUUAAAGGAGGAAACCCAGAAGCGGAUAUGGAAGAGAUCAAUGAUGCCCUCGCUGAAGUGGACGUAAAUAACAAUAUGCUAGAGUGCUUUCAUUGCCACCAACAAGUACAGGGGUACGUUGAUGAGCUGCAGGAACAUAUAAAAAUCCAUAUCAAACAGAACCACUUUACUCAGAACCUUGUAUUUUACGAUUGUAUGGUUCGCAAAUGUAAAGCACGUUGUAAUCAUUUUGCGUCACUGAAGAGACAUAUCCAGCUAGUGCAUCCGAACCCAGCGUAUGUAAUGAAAAAAAGGAAUUCCGAAAGAAUUAGAAACUGAUGUUUCUCCGCCAAGUGACCUAUAUGAGUUCCCGGAAGAGUAUGCUCAUUCAUCUGAUUUCAACAGACAAAGACCUGAGCCAAACAUUAGUUCUGGAGAGCACCAUUGCAUACCGCAAUGAGCAGCGAACUGCCGGAACAUUUUCGGAAUUUUUGAAAGAUUUCCCCGUUGCUUCAGCUUUUAAUGGAGAACUGCUUGCAGAAGACUUUGCUAUGCUGAAACCAAAAGCAGAUAAUUUUGACAUUACCUGGAAUAAUCUGCAGCCAAAAGUGAUAGCUUGCUUUGAUGAAAUGUUUCUUCACAUUUCUGAUCCAUUUCUACGAAGUUUGGCCAUUAUUAGGGUCAAAAACCCUACCAGAGGCGCAAGACAAUCUCGUGACAAUUCACAAAAGACGAAUCCAUUACAUAAAAUUAUCGAUUGGAUUGAUGUAAGAAAUACGCACAUACUAUAUAUAUUAUAUAUUUCAAAAUUCGGAAACCUUCUAUUCUAUUAUAACCUGAGGCCGCAUUUCCAGUAUGCGAGAACCCGCGAAUUUUUGUAGCUGCAGAAAACUUUAAAUCUGGUGAUUGUUACCUGAUCUGGAAAGACGUCGUUAUCAGCACUGGGCAAGAUUUGAAGCACACUUUUAUUUUGCUAUGUAAAGGCUUUACAGUCUUUAACACACAGCCAUUGCCAUCCGACAAACUGUUUUUUUCAUUUUUUAGUGCGGCAAUGCUAAAAAUAAUGCCAUUUAGCACAACUGCGAAUAAGUUUUUGAUGAUGCUCCCUAAAUGAAAAUAAGAACUAAUGUUCCUUUUAUUAACAUUUUAACUACCAUCUGUAAAUAGAACAAAGCAAAAAUGUAGUAAAACAUUGAAUUGAAAAAUUCUGCUUCUUAUUCACUAUUUGCCUUCACGCUAUGUCGGAGCCUGGCAAUUUAAAACAAAUACCUACUGAUUAAAUAAAUUAAAUUCUGUUAAAUUUAUGUUUCUGGUAGAAAAGUAACGGCGCUCUUCAAAAAUAAGUUCAACAAAAUAAACCAACAACUAAAUACAGUAA